GCACCAGCCUUUGGCAACAGAUAAACACCAGAACUGGAGUUUUGACAAUGUUUGUGCUGGAAGCAAGCUUCUGUUACUCUGGUUUACGUACUACUGAUCUUUGUUUUUCUUUUGUGGCUGGAACAUAAAGUUCACGAAUUGACUUGAAAAUCAGUAUUAAGAACAGAAGACCCAAGAGUCAUGAUAAAGCAUGGAACAUAACAUUGGAGGUCUAAUUCUAGGACAGGGAGAAGUGUGUUUCACUCUGUCAGCCUUUGCUGUAGUGGAAAAACUGACAACUCUGAGGCUUAGAGAAAUGUCUUCAAGAACCCCAUUGAGAGGUGCUUCUAGAGGCAAGCAGAAGAGCCCUCGCUGUCCUUACGACCAAAUCCAUUGCUUCAGGCUGAUGAUGACAAUCAGAUGUUAGACCAGCUUAAUCAUUGAGAUCUGCUCUGAUUCUGCUCCGUUCCUUCCUGUGUUAUUUUUUUUUUUAAAUGAAUGCUCAGCCAUCCAUUGUGCCAUGUUCGGUUUAAACUUGCACAGACCAUAGCAGUUGGUCCCCAGCUCUGUGUGAAUUUUUGCCUCGCAUUUAAUGAAUGGCAUUGACCUGUGUGUUGGGUUUAUGUGGCAGGGUUUUGGUACUGAGUUGAGUCUGUUUUGCCCAUGAAGGUAAUUGUUCAGAGAUCUCCGACCCAUGGGCUUUUCCACUUUAUUUUCUCCCCCCGUCGUGCUAAGGAAAAGGAGUGAGAGCAGCUGGAUGGGGGUCUCACAGACAGUCAAACUUGAUCCGUUUGGAUGCCUGAUAACAUACUAUUUCUCUCCACUACACCUCAGGCUAUGGAGCUUUUUCACAAAUAUCUGCUAACUGUAAUGCUUUCAAUUCAGAUUGAUGACAAUACAGUGUUUAAGAGGUUAUUCAUAUUGUAAACCCAAACCUUUAUCUUAAUAAAAGUCUUUCAUAAUAUUUUAAUCUAUGCCACCAAGGAAACUUGCAGGAAAAUUCCAUGUGUGUAAAAUGUUUGUGGUUUAGAUGUUUCUAUCUGUCAGUGUGUGAGUUACAGUGUUGAAUGAA